CUCAAACUCUCCAUAUCUUUGCAAAUCGCAAUCCCACGAUGUGGACGAGAUCUUGGAGGAUGAUGGCAGGCUGUUGAUCGAAGCAAGCCAAGGGCACACGGUAACUGUUCUCUGUCCAAAAUUUACUGCACUAAAUAGUAUAGUUGUUUCUACAGAGCAGCAUGUAUUUCUCAUGUUCACUUUUUCCUUUUAACUUCGUGUAAGAUGGAAAUAUUUUCUGUAGAAUAUUACAACUUGUAUUCCUAUAAUUUUGAGAGAUGUAAUGUUCUUCCAGAUUGGAAGACCUUCA